rnacentral:rRNA from 1 species
AUGGGAGUGAGAAUGUUGGCAUGAGUAGCGAGAUGUGGGUGAGAAUCCCACAGGCCGUAAACCCAAGGUUUCCAGGGGAAGGUUCGUCCGCCCUGGGGUAGUCGGGACCUAAGCUGAGGCCGAAAGGCGUAGGUGAUGGACAACAGGUUGAUAUUCCUGUACUACCGAUAACCGUUUGAGAGAAGGGAUGACACAGUAGGAUAAGCUAAGCACACUGUUGGUUAUGUGUGCCCAAGCAUUGAGGCAGUCAAAGUAGGCAAAUCCGCUUUGAUAAU